rnacentral:rRNA from 1 species
UUCCCUAGUAGCGGCGAGCGAAGCGGGAAGAGCUCAAAUUUAUAAUCUGGCACCUUCGGUGUCCGAGUUGUAAUCUCUAGAAGUGUUUUCCGCGUUGGACCGCACACAAGUCUGUUGGAAUACAGCGGCAUAGUGGUGAAACCCCCGUAUAUGGUGCGGACGCCCAGCGCUUUGUGAUACAUUUUCAAUGAGUCGAGUUGUUUGGGAAUGCAGCUCAAAUUGGGUGGUAAAUUCCAUCUAAAGCUAAAUAUUGGCGAGAGACCGAUAGCGAACAAGUACCGUGAGGGAAAGAUGAAAAGCACUUUGGAAAGAGAGUUAACAGUACGUGAAAUUGUUGGAAGGGAAACGCUUGAAGUCAGACUUGCUUGCCGGAGCUUGCUUCGGUUUGCAGGCCAGCAUCAGUUUUCCGGGGUGGAUAAUGACGGUUUGAAGGUAGCAGUCUCGGCUGUGUUAUAGCUUUCCGUUGGAUACAUCCUGGGGGACUGAGGAACGCAGCGUGCUUUUUGCGAAAGACUCGUCUUUUUCACGCUUAGGAUGCUGGUGGAAUGGCUUUAAACGACCCGUCUUGAACAACGGACCAU